rnacentral:lncRNA from 1 species
AUGUGUACCACUCACAUUAUGAUAAGCAUUUCUACUCUACUCUUUGUUCCUUCGGACUCAAGAGUGAGAAGUGCUACAGCUCUCACUAAUCCUGGCACAUGGCACUGUCCUUUGUUGGUUUUCUUAAACUCAAACUCUUGCAAAUUGCUGAUUUUGAAUGUGCCCUUUUUACUUCCAGGACCCUGACUAAUAUAAGAUGAUUUCUUAAAACUGGAAUCUCAGUGGAUUCGUCUCAACACGGCCAGAUGGAUGAUUCUUCCAGGGACUAAUGAACUUUUGACGGAAACUGUGCAUCCCUCCAGCAAUUCUGGAAACCACACGGAGCACGUUGCCUACUGUACAUAAUUCUGGUUUAAGAGAGCCAGAGAGGUGGGAGUGGUGUGGAGCAGGUAGAGUAAGAAUCACUGCAGCUUCCUAUUAAUAAUAAAAAUGUGCAAGACAAUAAACAUGGCUGC